UACAGAGGUCUCAAGCGUUUGUUCGGAUUCAUUGGGCGUAAAGGGUGUGUAGGUGGCGCCGUAAGUCGGGUGUGAAAUUUCGGAGCUUAACUCCGAAACUGCAUUCGAUACUGCGGUGCUUGAGGACUGGAGAGGAGACUGGAAUUCAUGGUGUAGCAGUGAAAUGCGUAGAGAUCAUGAGGAAGACCAGUGGCGAAGGCGGGUCUCUGGACAGUUCCUGACACUGAGACACGAAGGCCAGGGGGAGCAAACGGGG
rnacentral:rRNA from 1 species